UACGUAGGUGGCAAGCGUUGUCCGGAAUUAUUGGGCGUAAAGCGCGCGCAGGCGGUCCUUUAAGUCUGAUGUGAAAGCCCACGGCUCAACCGUGGAGGGUCAUUGGAAACUGGGGGACUUGAGUGCAGAAGAGGAAAGUGGAAUUCCACGUGUAGCGGUGAAAUGCGUAGAGAUGUGGAGGAACACCAGUGGCGAAGGCGACUUCUGGUCUGUAACUGACGCUGAGGCGCGAAAGCGUGGGGAGCGAACAGG
rnacentral:rRNA from 1 species